CUCAGUGCGCAGAGAGAAUACACUGGACUCAGCAGCAGUUCGUGUGUAUCAAAAUUCAAGAUCAAUAUGGCUUCAGGUCUCUGGAUAAAGACACUGCGAGUCUUCCGCUCAAUCACAAGCGCGCUCAAUUCUACAUCCAUCAUCGAUAUGAUAGCCGUCACCUGGAGCAUUAUGAAUACAAAUGUCCGGUUUCGCCAAUUGUCGCACAGCUUCUUCAAUAAGUUAACCAUAUUGUUUUAAAAGUAUAAACACACAAUUUGGAAUCAAGCUGUGAAAAUACAAAAAUGUAAGUUGUAACAAACUGACAGAACGAAAAAAAUUGAUUGAUUGAUUGAACGAAAAAAUUGCUCACUGAUCAGAACCGAUAGAACCGAUACUCAUAGACUACAUGGGUAUAUUUUAUUCCCAAAUAAAGAUAAUUAGUUUCCUGUGCGCUCUCACACUUCCAGUGUGGCUUAGCAGUUAAGGAUGAUGACACGGUUUGACUGAAAAAGAGAUAAACUGCUGAAUGGACGGAUGCCGAUUUGCACAUUUUUCAAUGCAAACAAAUCUCCGUAAAUGGGGUUAGGCGGAGCUUCAGUUUACUUACUCUCAUCUGGGAAUAUUCCGCUAGGAAUCCAAUAUUUAUCGUGUCAGAGAGACGGCGUGUCGAGGCUGCUGCUGC